CCGGAUGGAGAGGAAGGGCUCGGCGGCCGCGGCCAAGGGGAACCCGAGCCCGCCCGCGGUCGGCGAGGCGCAGCGGCCGCCGCCGCCACUGUGCGUCCCGGGCGGCGGCGGCGGGGUCCCGGCGCGCGGCCAGGCUGGGGCGGCGGCCGAGCCCGCCGAGUUCAUCCGGCGGGCGCACGAGUUCAAGAGCCAAGGGGCGCAGUGCUACAAGGACAAGAAAUUCCGCGAAGCCAUCGGCAAAUACCACCGGGCGUUGUUGGAGCUGAAGGGGCUGCUGCCGGCGCCGGGGGAGCAGGAGCGGGACUCGCGCGCGGCCUCCCCGCCCGGGGCCCCCAACCCCGGCCGCCUCUCGGAGGAGCAGAGCAAGACGGUGGAAGCCAUCGAGAUCGACUGCUACAACAGCCUGGCAGCCUGCCUGCUGCAGGCUGAGCUGGUGAACUACGAGCGAGUCAAGGAAUAUUGCCUCAAAGUCCUGAAGAAGGAAGGAGAGAACUUCAAGGCUCUUUACCGGUCUGGUGUAGCCUUCUACCACCUUGGAGACUAUGACAAAGCACUCUACUACUUGAAAGAAGCAAGGACCCGACAGCCAACAGACACCAACGUGAUUCGGUACAUCCAGCUGACGGAGAUGAAGCUCAGCCGAUUCUCCCAGAGAGAGAAGGAAGCCAUGUGACAGCUGCAGCCGCCCCCGAGGACGGACUUCCAGGCAGCCCCCCGGGCGAAGGGCCCCUCCUGGGUUUUGCUCCCUUAUCCCCACGUCUGCCGGCUCCCCCUUUCUUCCUCCGGCUGCCCCUCAGCAAUCUGUCUGCUCCCAGUGGGAAAGGAAGGAGAGGCAGAUUUGGAACCUGGUGUGUUGCCUGCCAUGGAGACACCCCUUCUCUAGCAGGUCCACUACUGAGAGGGACCUCACUUCUGCGGGGACAGCUGGAGAGGACUCUUCCAGGGCCCAGAACGCUGAUGCAGCAGUGACUUCAGCCAGUGCUCCUGACAGAGGCAGAGCCUGGUAGAUGUGCCGUCGCAGGCACGGAGCCCACAGGCUGGACCCCUGCACACUUUCCGGACAGACCAGAGCAUCUCAAGGCAACCGUGACCAAUCCAGGGAAGAGACAAACGCCAGAAGCAUCAGAACGGGUUCACAUUUACCCAACUCAGAACCAUCCUGCGUCAGACACAGCAAAGGCAUAUGUGCAAGUCUCCCCCGUUCCCAAGCCUCCAGCCCAGGAAGCUUGCGAGUUGGCAAACUGCUUGCCAGGGUCUGAAGGAUGCCGGUGAGUUCAGAGGGGGGAGGCAGAACCGGUUCAAACCAGCAGGGUCUUCCUUUUGUCUUCAUGCCAUCAGGAAGGACUCGUACUAACUAUCCCCAAACCAGAGCAGGAGAGAGGUCUUGCCUCAAUGAGUAAGUUGGGGCAGAGCUGGACAGAGGGGGAUAAGAUCGUCACCAUCCUUCUAAAGAGGAAGGUGGAAACCCGGAACUAGAUGAGCACAGCGCUGAGCACAGAUUCCCUGCCUGUCUGGUGGUUCGCGUACACUUGCUUACUGGAAUCCGUUCAACUGUGACCCAACGUUAAGUGAUUCCCAAAGUAAAAAUUUGCCCAGGAGUGUUGUCUGAUAUUUGGGGUGGAGGGUGAAAUUGCUGUGCAUUUUGUCCAACAAAAAUUUCAGAAAGCUGUUAAGCAAGAUCAGGUCUAUUCACCUUAGACGACUUCAGCUUCCUGCCCCCCCAUCCCUCCUCAAAACACGGACUGUGAUUUCAUGACACCCUUUGUUUGCAGACGUCACUGCUGACCUGGAGCACUAAUCCUGGAUCUGACCUGCUGUGUCAUCUCCUGCUUGGACUUUUGUGAUAGACUCUUCGGGGAAAAAAAUUAUACUUUUCUUGUUAUUGUUAUGAAAGCCUCACAUGUGUAUUGUAGAAAUUUAGCGGGGGGUGGGGGGUGGGGAGACAAACUCCAGCCCGUCAUCCUACCACCCAAGACAAACAUCACUGUCCUUUUAGACUUCUCUUUCAGUUCUUUGGGGUAUAAAUGUUCACAUGCACAUGCAGGGCUUGUUUUGUUUUGUUUUUAACAAAAACUGGA